rnacentral:rRNA from 1 species
UGGGGAAUAUUGGACAAUGGGGGCAACCCUGAUCCAGCGACGCCGCGUGGGUGAAGAAGGCCUGCGGGUUGUAAAGCCCUUUCGGUGGGGAAGAAAAGUUUCGACCUAACACGUCGGGACCUUGACGUAACCCACUAAAGAAGCACCGGCUAACUCUGUGCCAGCAGCCGCGGUAAUACAGAGGGUGCGAGCGUUAAUCGGAAUUACUGGGCGUAAAGCGCGCGUAGGCGGCUUUGCAAGUCGGGUGUGAAAUCCCCAGGCUUAACCUGGGAACUGCAUUCGAGACUGCAUAGCUAGAGUAUCGGAGAGGGAAGUGGAAUUUCAGGUGUAGCGGUGAAAUGCGUAGAUAUCUGAAGGAACAUCAGUGGCGAAAGCGACUUCCUGGACGAAUACUGACGCUCAUGUGCGAAAGCGUGGGGAGCAAACAGG